rnacentral:misc_RNA from 1 species
GAUUUAUUAGUGAUAAUGUCCAUUUUACGUGAAAUAUUUAUAAUGUGAAAAUUCAUGUGAAUGAUACAUAAUAUGUAUGAAUGAAUGAUAAAAUUAAUGAUGGUUAGUUUACUCUUUGAGUUUGUGUAAACUUUCCCCAUUCCCCUAACCCCAGGUGCAGGGUUAUAGGACUACAAGAGUUUGUGUAAACUUUCAAAGUUAGUCUUAGCCUUUCUUAUGUAUGAUGU